UAUGAAGGGUGCAAGCGUUAAUCGGAAUUACUGGGCGUAAAGGGUGCGUAGGCGGUUGUUUAAGUCUGUCGUGAAAUCCCCGGGCUCAACCUGGGAAUGGCGAUGGAUACUGGGCAGCUAGAGUGUGUCAGAGGAUGGUGGAAUUCCCGGUGUAGCGGUGAAAUGCGUAGAGAUCGGGAGGAACAUCAGUGGCGAAGGCGGCCAUCUGGGACAACACUGACGCUGAAGCACGAAAGCGUGGGGAGCAAACAGG
rnacentral:rRNA from 1 species